CGGACGGGUGAGUAAUGUCUGGGAAACUGCCCGAUGGAGGGGGAUAACUACUGGAAAACGGUAGCUAAUACCGCAUAACGUCGCAAGACCAAAGAGGGGGACCUUAGGGCCUCUUGCCAUCGGAUGUGCCCAGAUGGGAUUAGCUAGUAGGUGGGGUAAUGGCUCACCUAGGCGACGAUCCCUAGCUGGUCUGAGAGGAUGACCAGCCACACUGGAACUGAGACACGGUCCAG
rnacentral:rRNA from 1 species